rnacentral:rRNA from 1 species
AAUAGAUACCCGGGUAGUCCACGCCGUAAACGUUGGGCGCUAGAUGUGGGGGCCAUUCCACGGUUUCCGCGUCGUAGCUAACGCAUUAAGCGCCCCGCCUGGGGAGUACGGCCGCAAGGCUAAAACUCAAAGGAAUUGACGGGGGCCCGCACAAGCGGCGGAGCACGCGGAUUAAUUCGAUGCAACGCGAAGAACCUUACCAAGGCUUGACAUAUACGAGAACACUGCAGAAAUGUAGGACUCUUUGGACACUCGUAUACAGGUGGUGCAUGGUUGUCGUCAGCUCGUGUCGUGAGAUGUUGGGUUAAGUCCCGCAACGAGCGCAACCCUCGUCGCAUGUUGCCAGCACGUAAAGGUGGGAACUCAUGUGAGACUGCCGGGGUCAACUCGGAGGAAGGUGGGGAUGACGUCAAAUCAUCAUGCCCCUUAUGUCUUGGGCUUCACGCAUGCUACAAUGGCCGGUACAAAGGGCUGCAAUACCGUAAGGUGGAGCGAAUCCCAAAAAGCCGGUCUCAGUUCGGAUUGAGGU